UUUUUACCGUGAUGGUAGUGGACAUUUCUUUUUCGGAACAGCCAACGGGCAGCACCGCCAUAA
rnacentral:sRNA from 1 species